rnacentral:rRNA from 1 species
CAGCCGCCGCGGUAAUACGAAGGGGGCUAGCGUUGUUCGGAUUUACUGGGCGUAAAGGGCGCGUAGGCGGACUGAUAAGUCAGGGGUGAAAUCCCAAGGCUCAACCUUGGAACUGCCUUUGAUACUGUUUGUCUUGAGUUCGAAAGAGGUAAGUGGAACUGCGAGUGUAGAGGUGAAAUUCGUAGAUAUUCGCAAGAACACCAGUGGCGAAGGCGGCUUACUGGCUCGAAACUGACGCUGAGGCGCGAAAGCGUGGGGAGCAAACAGGAUUAGAUACCCCAGUAGUCCCUGUCUCUUAUAC